AUUGAACGCUAGCGGGAUGCUUUACACAUGCAAGUCGAACGAGUGGCGGACGGGUGCGUAAUAUUUCGGAACGUGCCCAGUAGCGGGGGAUAACUACUCGAAAGUGUGGCUAAUACCGCCUACUAUUGGAGCGGCCGAUAUAGGAUUAGCUAGUUGGUGGGGUAAAGGCUCACCAAGGCGACGAUCCGUAGCUGGUUUGAGAGGAUGACCAGCCACACGGGGCCUUAGACACGGCCCAGCGUCCUACGGGAUGCAGAAGUGGAGAAUUUUGCACAAUGGGGGAAACCCUGAUUCAGCCAUCCCGCGUGUAUGAGAAGGCCUUCGGGUUGUAAAGUACUUUUGGCAGAGAGGCGGUAUCUGCAGAAUAAGCACCGGCUAACUACGUGCCAGCAGCCGCGGUAAUAC
rnacentral:rRNA from 1 species